rnacentral:rRNA from 1 species
UACGUAGGUGGCAAGCGUUAUCCGGAUUUAUUGGGCGUAAAGAGAACGCAGGCGGUCUUUUAAGUCUGAUGUGAAAGCCUUCGGCUUAACCGGAGUAGUGCAUUGGAAACUGGGAGACUUGAGUGCAGAAGAGGAGAGUGGAACUCCAUGUGUAGCGGUGAAAUGCGUAGAUAUAUGGAAGAACACCAGUGGCGAAAGCGGCUCUCCGGUCUGUAACUGACGCUGAGGUUCGAAAGCGUGGGUAGCAAACAGG